rnacentral:lncRNA from 1 species
AGGUAAAUUCCAUUUUACAUUUGGCGGGUGUGCUCGGUGGUUAGGGGACAACAUUUUGCUCAGAUUUGAAGUGAUUUACCUUGGGAAAGAUAGGAGAAAUCAUCAUGCGUUAUCUUGCCUAGCUGCCCUUGCCAGCUGUGCUCGGAGCUGGCACCCCAAGCUCCAACCGUCAGAAUUCCUGACUCCAUUACCUGCUCCUGGCAUCUUCUCCUUCCUCCACCCUUGCCCUGCCAAAUGAGAUCUUCCCUGCUCGUUCCCUUUCCUCAACUAUCUGCUCAUAAUUCUUGUGGCUGUGUCUAUAGCUCAGUGGGGAGCAAGGGAGGGAAAAUACCUGAGCUGCCAUAAAAGAGGAGCUCCUGUAAAAUAACUCAUUCUUCUUUCUAGAGCCAGGGCCUGGAUUGGACAGUACUGGCCCCUCUUUCCUGCCAUGCUCUCCAGAAUCGAAACUUUUAUUUGGUUACAGUCUCUAGCUGCUCUGGUUGCUGAGAGACCCUGAAAACACCUGUGACUGACACAGUGAUGUCUGCCUGUACAAUUAGCAGAAGCUGAACCAUCGCUCAGAGGAGUUGGUGAGCCAGGCUCACGCCAUGCCAGUGACGAUACUCUAAAUAUCCGCAUUGUUAACUAGUUCACACAUUGUCUAAGUGUGUCAGAAAGGCGGGGGAAAGUCCUGUUACCAAAGCUGCACAAUCUACUUUGAGUGGCAGCUCUGGGCGGAGCUUAUCUUGUGGGCAGGGCUUGGAAGAGUACCAUUGCCUUAUUUUUCCACUGAUUCCUGCCUGCAGCAGUUUAAUAACUUCCGACUGAUGCAAAAGAGAGCAUGUAUGCAGAUCCACCCCUGUACUAUAUAACGGGGCACACUAUGUGAAAGAACCUGGAGUUGCCAAAUACUGAGAAGAGAUUUUCCCCAGCUAGGGCCAGGAAAAAAAAAUGUUGACAAAGGAGGUGGGGCAAGAUCAUAGCAAGUGCAGGGCCUGGAUUUCAGUAUUCGUUAAUUUUUUCUAUGUCCUGCAGCCUGCUUUGAUAAAUGUCUGGCAUAGUGUCAUGUCAUCUGUAUGUGAAUGUCUGAUUCCAGAAUAUAUGUGCCUUCUCAUCACAGCAGGUACCGUCUGGGGUCGGAUCCUGAGGCUCCUCUGUCCUUCACGCUGAUCCACUGAAAGAGUCCCCGAACUAGGAAGCCCCACCAAGUCUCUCUGUUUGUUCUUCCAUAGCAGCAGCUUGAUCUACACUUACACCGGGAGUCAACAUUUAUAAUGCAAGUAAAAUGUGUUCUUUUGUGUGUUCUCGGCCCCCUCCCCUUCCCUCCCACUCGCUACACAGAUGCCCCCCAGUACACCCUAGUGUCACAUAUCUUUGUUGCCAUUACAAAGGAAACUUUUAAUUCCUUUACAAUGGUAUUAGUAUUACUGUCGUAGUGGGAUUUCCCUUCCCCACUAGCUGAGUUGCAGGAGGGUGAGGCUGGAGGAAAUGGGAAGUGAAAGCUCUGGUGAGUGAUGCUGCCUGUCGCCCCCUCUAGGAGAGGCAAACGCUGCUCGGUGAGGGCUUGGACUGGGCUAUAUGGAAGUUUAUUGGAUGUUUUAGACAAUAUGGGCUGCCUCAUUCAUUCCAAUAUGCCUGAUGCUACACUACAUUUCUGGAUAACUGAGCCCAAAAUAAAUUAUUCCUUUAUAAUGGCA